CCCCGGACACCCGCAUGCGCGCACGCAGCACGCUGCCCCCGCCGGCGUUUCACUCCGCUCCGGGACGGCCCGAGCGCCCGCAGCUGCGGCUCGUCCCUCCUCCCUCAGGCACCGACCCGGGCACGCGCGCGGAGCCGCUACCUGCCGCUGGCCGUGCUGAGGACAGGACAGGAUUCGUCUCUGGCCGACGUCCCCGCCGCCGCCGCCUCUAGGCUCCGGGCUCUGUCCCGCAGGGUCCGUGCUCCAGGCGGCGCCGCUGGGGCCAAGCUGCGCUGGGUGCUGCGCUCGGUGAGCGCCGCUCACUCCCCGGCCGCCAGCUCUGGGGCUGCCGGGACGCGGAGGCGGGGCCGUCGCCCCCACCUGCUCCUCCGGCUCCUGCCUGGGAGCCGCAGCCGGCCCGCGCGCAAGGACGCGGCCCGGGCGGGCGGGGUCGCUCUGGAACCCGGGAGGCGGGUCCUAGCCGCCGGGCGCGCCUCUGCCUGACGGAGUCCCAGGUCUAAGCUGAGGAGAGAGUCUAAGCUUGGGGCCCAAGGCUGGAGUUCCCCAGGUAGGAGGGGCUGUGAUGCGAGCGACACCCGGCCCAGCACCCGCCAGGCUGGGGACACUCCACUCCUUCAUCAAUUUAUUCCAAAAUAUUUUGAACGCCUCCUGUGCUCCAGGCGGCGUCAGAAGCGGUGGGGACAAAAGAACGAGAUCGUCUCGUGCCCUUGCGGAGUUCACGGUGUAGAAAAGGAAACAACUAAUGGACAACUACACUGCAGAGCCAAGAGGGAGCGGUCAUAGAGGGGGCCCGGAACCAGACUUGGGGAGGUCAGGGAAGGCUUACUGGAGGAGCUGGUGGCUAAAAGAACUGAAGGAUGUGCAUGAAUUAUCCGGUUGGAGUGACCUGGGGAGGUAGAUUGUCCCAGGUGGAGCCGAAGGGGAGAGGGAGCCGACUGUCUGAAAACUGAAGGGUCUGAGGAGCCGAAAGAACUUGGUAUGGCCACACUUCACGUUCAGACCCCUGGAAAGAUGCAGAAAGAUUGUGUCUGAGGCUGGAUGUAUUCCACUAGGAGCAUGAUUGGUUGGUGAGGAUUUGGUGAGGAUUUUGAAUCUCCCACGUGCUGCGCAUUCCCGCUAGUGGAGGAGCUAAGAGGAUACUCGUGGACCGUUCCCUGCAAUUUACCUGAGCAUCUGUGAGCCAGGCACUCUGCAGGACCCUUAAGAUGUGCUGUGGAAGGAGGCAGUGUCUCUACGCAAAAGGAGCUACAAGUCUGCAGUGGGGGAGAGACCUUUACUCAGCGCUUGGAUGAGGUGCAUGGGAACACAGGCUUUCAGCACAGGAGCUACAGGAUAAAUAUCUAUUGACUGACUGACAAGGAAUCUCUCUCAAGACUAAGGAUCACAAUAUGUGGAAUCAAAAGAACUAGGGUUUGAGUCCUGAUUCUAUCCAAACUGUUUCAGCUUCCUGCCCUUGGGCUACAUCACCUUAGACUUAUAAUGACAACAACGAACAUCCAAGUGACUCCCUGCAUCUACCUUCACUACGCCCAUCUGCCUGCAUAUUCUCUGAUGGAUCCACAGUCAAACCAUCAGUGUAUUUCCCACACAUCUAUCUGAGGUUCUGGGGUUGAGUGAUGAGUCUGAACUGCACAUUAUUUCCCCAAAGCUACAAAAUGUGAAAUCCAGCCCAGAUUCAGAGACACCCAGCAAUAUGCUGCAGUCAUUCAUUCAGCCCAGAAUGCUGUCCUGAAAGAGGAGAAAGACAACAGAGGGAUAUGACUCAACUGCAAACUCAUUCCCAUGACAGCAAAAGAAAUGAGAGACCAGGGUGGGACCCUGCCAUCUUUCCCACCAACGUGCCAGUUAAAGCUGAAUAAUACUGGCUUUACUGGAGUCUGUCAAAGCAUCAGGUAUCAAGGGCUGAACUGGCUGUCUCCUAAAACUCCCAGUGACCUCCAAAUCUGCUGUGUCCUGGUCCAAGGAGGAGAGACCUUUGACUCUGAUGGCACAACACGCCCAGCUGCUGCUCUAAUUGUUCUCCAGGGACAGAGGGCCACUCUCAAUACAAGAGACACAAAAAGCCUGGAGGAUUGGUCCUGCCGCCUCUCUUACAACUCAUUUCCCUUCAUCCACAAAAGUCAGCGUUCAUCCCAAACUGAAGGCCUGUGUGGUCUCCAAAAUGGACCAAACCACCUUGUUUGGAAGCACUCAAAUAAUCUGAUGCUUCUUGGGGUGAUUGAUUGUGAAAUGUUGAAAUUGCUGUUCUUCCCACUUCAUUUCUCCACCUGUUUUAUUGAGGCUGAUGUCAACAAUUUUGGCUAAUUGCUCCUGUUUCUCACAGUCUGCUUCGAUGUAGACACAAAGUUACUCCCUGUUACAGAGAAAGACUUUUGGUUGCAUUAAGCAUUUCACACAUUUCAACAUGUAGUUGUUGGUAUUUUGU